GCUUGCCAAACUAUUCUAGCUGUCCAUAUUAUUUUUUUUGACUCAGUGUAGACUUUAUUUUUCAAAAGGAUGUUGGCAUAUUAUUUGUGUGGAUGGCCUUAUAUGAAAUGUCAAUAGGAGACGUGCAAAAGCAAGGCCACACAUGUCGCAUAGGUGACAUGAAUGGAAUAUCCAUUUGACACAGUGUUUAUGUGUGUGUGUAUGUGAGAG
rnacentral:lncRNA from 1 species